rnacentral:rRNA from 1 species
CCUACGGAUGGCAGCAGUGAGGAAUAUUGGUCAAUGGGCGCAAGCCUGAACCAGCCAAGUAGCGUGAAGGAUGAAUGCCCUACGGUUUGUAAACUUCUUUUAUAAGGGAAUAAAGUUAUGCACGUGUGCCUUUUUGUAUGUACUUUAUGAAUAAGGAUCGGCUAACUCCGUGCCAGCAGCCGCGGUAAUACGGAGGAUGCGAGCGUUAUCCGGAUUUAUUGGGUUUAAAGGGAGCGUAGAUGGUUUGUUAAGUCAGUGGUGAAAGUUUGCGGCUCAACCGUAAAAUUGCAAUUGAUACUGGCAGGCUUGAGUAUAGUUGAGGUAGGCGGAAUUCGUGGUGUAGCGGUGAAAUGCUUAGAUAUCACGAAGAACUCCGAUUGCGAAGGCAGCUUACUAAACCGUAACUGACACUGAUGCUCGAAAGUGUGGGUAUCAAACAGGAUUAGAUACCCUUGUAGUC